UCCACAGAGAGUCACUUUGCAUCAGCACAUGCUUCAGCGCUCCGAGUGUUUAUAGCGUUCAGACUCAACACUUUAUAACACACUGCUGUUUACCACGGUACAAAACCAACAAACACAAUGAAUCUCUUCAGCAGCUUCAUCUGGAUUCUGGCAGCUUUUAUUCCAGCAGCAUCCAGAGGAAUCACUGUGACUCAGCCUGAAGCUGUGACUGUUUCUGAACGACAAGACGCCACUAUAGAGUGUAAAACUGAUCCUGGAAUAGAUAGCUGGGGUUUAGCUUGGUAUCAGCAGAAACCUGGAGAAGCUCCUAAACUCAUCAUUUAUUUGGUAAAUGAUCUCUAUGAUGAGAGUUUCAAUCGAUUCAGUGGGAAUGGAACAGAAGGUGGAACUGAUUUCACUCUGACCAUCAGUGGAGUCCAGACUGAAGAUGCUGGACAUUAUUACUGUCAGAGUUACCACAGUGGUAAUGUUCCUUCAUGA